rnacentral:rRNA from 1 species
GACGAACGCUGGCGGCGUGCUUAACACAUGCAAGUCGAACGGAAAGGCCCUGCUUUUGUGGGGUGCUCGAGUGGCGAACGGGUGUGUAACACGUGAGUCACCUGCCCUUGAUUUUGGGAUAACUUCAGGAAACUGGGGCUAAUACCGGAUAGCAGCUCCUGCUGAUUGGUGGGUGUUGGAAAGUUUCGGCGGUUGGGGAUGGACUCGCGGCUUAUCAGCUUGUUGGUGGGGUAGUGGCUUACCAAGGCUUUGACGGGUAGCCGGCCUGAGAGGGUGACCGGCCACAUUGGGACUGAGAUACGGCCCAGACUCCUACGGGAGGCAGCAGUGGGGAAUAUUGCACAAUGGGCGGAAGCCUGAUGCAGCAACGCCGCGUGCGGGAUGACGGCCUUCGGGUUGUAAACCGCUUUCGCCUGUGACGAAGCGUGAGUGACGGUAAUGGGUAAAGAAGCACCGGCUAACUACGUG